AGGCCUAACACAUGCAAGUCGAACGGUAACAGGAAGAAGCUUGCUUCUUUGCUGACGAGUGGCGGACGGGUGAGUAAUGUCUGGGAAACUGCCUGAUGGAGGGGGAUAACUACUGGAAACGGUAGCUAAUACCGCAUAACGUCGCAAGACCAAAAAGGGGGACCUUCGGGCCUCUUGCCAUCGGAUGUGCCCAGAUGGGAUUAGCUAGUAGGUGGGGUAACGGCUCACCUAGGCGACGAUCCCUAGCUGGUCUGAGAGGAUGACCAGCCACACUGGAACUGAGACACGGUCCAGACUCCUACGGGAGGCAGCAGUGGGGAAUAUUGCACAAUGGGCGCAAGCCUGAUGCAGCCAUGCCGCGUGUAUGAAGAAGGCCUUCGGGUUGUAAAGUACUUUCAGCGGGGAGGAAGGGAGUAAAGUUAAUACCUUUGCUCAUUGACGUUACCCGCAGAAGAAGCACCGGCUAACUCCGUGCCAGCAGCCGCGGUAAUACGGAGGGUGCAAGCGUUAAUCGGAAUUACUGGGCGUAAAGCGCACGCAGGCGGUUUGUUAAGUCAGAUGUGAAAUCCCCGGGCUCAACCUGGGAACUGCAUCUGAUACUGGCAAGCUUGAGUCUCGUAGAGGGGGGUAGAUUCCAGGUGUAGCGGUGAAAUGCGUAGAGAUCUGGAGGAAUANCCGGUGGCGAAGGCGGCCC
rnacentral:rRNA from 1 species